rnacentral:rRNA from 1 species
AGAUUAAGUUAUUAAGGGCGCACGGUGGAUGCCUUGGCACUAGAAGCCGAUGAAGGACGUUACUAACGACGAUAUGCUUUGGGGAGCUGUAAGUAAGCUUUGAUCCAGAGAUUUCCGAAUGGGGAAACCCAGCAUGAGUUAUGUCAUGUUAUCGAUAUGUGAAUACAUAGCAUAUCAGAAGGCACACCCGGAGAACUGAAACAUCUUAGUACCCGGAGGAAGAGAAAGAAAAUUCGAUUCCCUUAGUAGCGGCGAGCGAAACGGGAAGAGCCCAAACCAACAAGCUUGCUUGUUGGGGUUGUAGGACACUCUAUACGGAGUUACAAAGGACGACAUUAGACGAAUCAUCUGGAAAGAUGAAUCAAAGAAGGUAAUAAUCCUGUAGUCGAAAAUGUUGUCUCUCUUGAGUGGAUCCUGAGUACGACGGAGCACGUGAAAUUCCGUCGGAAUCUGGGAGGACCAUCUCCUAAGGCUAAAUACUCUCUAGUGACCGAUAGUGAACCAGUACCGUGAGGGAAAGGUGAAAAGCACCCCGGAAGGGG